UAUGUGCACCUGGGGGCCCGCUCGUUAGCUUGGGGACGCCCUCAGGCAGUUCCCCCCCAAAAUUUAGCCUCGGGUGGGUGUGCGCUGCCCUUGGUCCCUUUCCCUGCCUUUGUUUUGCAUUGUUUGUUCUCGCAGUACAGGAGAAGAGCGCAGGAGAAGAAAAAAGAAGAAAAGAGGAGGAGAAAGAGAAGAUGAAUGAAAUGGAGUCCAUCAUUACAGAAGGAGAGGAAGCAGAGGAAGAGGCAGCCCUAUACUUCUCAAGAAACUACAAGAUUCUUCUCUAUUUCACAUCUGUUAUACCUGAAGCUGCACCGGCUGGGCAUCAGUUGGCUCUCAGGUGAUCUGCUUUACUGAUCACACCCAUCAUCGUAGGGUGGAGGAGAGGCAGUUCUUCCUGACAUGUUUAUUGAUGAGGAGAAGAAAAAGAAGAAAAAGAAGAGGAGGAGGAAGAGAAGAUGAAUAAAAUGGACUCAAUCAUUACAAAGGGAGAGGGAGCAGAGGAAGAGGAACCACCACCACUACUACUACAAGUACUACUAUUAA